CAACAGGUUGAUAUUCCUGUACCACCAACACAUCGUUUGAGUAAUGGGGGGACGCAGGAGGAUAGGAGAGCACGCCGUUGGUUGCGCGUGUUUAAGCAGGUAGGCAGGAAAUGAGGCAAAUCCCGUUUCCGUGUAAGCUGAGCUGUGAUGACGAGGGAAAUUUAGUACCGAAGUCUUUGAUUCCACACUGCCAAGAAAAGCCUCUAGCGAGAUGCAAGGUGAAAUGACCCCGUAACUUCGGGAGAAGGGGUGCUCUAUUAGGGUGCAAGCCCGAGAGAGCCGCAGUGAAUAGGCCCAGGCGACUGUUUAGCAAAAACACAGGUCUCUGCGAAACCGUAAGGUGAAGUAUAGGGGCUGACACCUGCCCGGUGCUGGAAGGUUAAGAGGAGUGCUUAGCGCAAGCGAAGGUGCGAAUUGAAGCCCCAGUAAACGGCGGCCGUAACUAUAACGGUCCUAAGGUAGCGAAAUUCCUUGUCGGGUAAGUUCCGACCCGCACGAAAGGUGCAACGAUCUGGGCACUGUCUCAACGAGAGACUCGGUGAAAUUAUAGUACCUGUGAAGAUGCAGGUUACCCGCGACAGGACGGAAAGACCCCGUGGAGCUUUACUGCAGCCUGAUAUUGAAUUUUGGCACAGCUUGUACAGGAUAGGUAGGAGCCUUAGAAACCGGAGCGCCAGCUUCGGUGGAGGCAUUGGUGGGAUACUACCCCCGCUGUGUUGAACUUCUAACCCGCGGCCCUUAUCGGGCCGGGAGACAGUGUCAGGCAGGCAGUUUGACUGGGGCGGUCGCCUCCUAAAGAGUAACGGAGGCGCCCAAAGGUUCCCUCAGAAUGGUUGGAAAUCAUUCGAAGAGUGUAAAGGCAUAAGGGAGCUUGACUGCGAGACCUACAAGUCGAGCAGGGUCGAAAGACGGGCUUAGUGAUCCGGUGGUUCCGCAUGGAAGGGCCAUCGCUCAACGGAUAAAAGCUACCCCGGGGAUAACAGGCUUAUCUCCCCCAAGAGUCCACAUCGACGGGGAGGUUUGGCACCUCGAUGUCGGCUCAUCGCAUCCUGGGGCUGUAGUCGGUCCCAAGGGUUGGGCUGUUCGCCCAUUAAAGCGGUACGCGAGCUGGGUUCAGAACGUCGUGAGACAGUUCGGUCCCUAUCCGUCGUGGGCGCAGGAAAUUUGAGAGGAGCUGUCCUUAGUACGAGAGGACCGGGAUGGACGCACCGCUGGUGUACCAGUUGUCAUGCCAAUGGCAUCGCUGGGUAGCUAUGUGCGGACGGGAUAAGUGCUGAAAGCAUCUAAGCAUGAAGCCCCCCUCAAGAUGAGAUUUCCCACACGCAAGUGGUAAGAUCCCUGAAAGAUGAUCAGGUAGAUAGGUUCGAGGUGGAAGCAUGGUGACAUGUGCAGCUGACGAAUACUAAUCGAUCGAGGACUUAACCAA
rnacentral:rRNA from 1 species